CCUACGGGUGGCAGCAGUGGGGAAUAUUGCACAAUGGGGGAAACCCUGAUGCAGCGACGCCGCGUGAGUGAAGAAGUAUUUCGGUAUGUAAAGCUCUAUCAGCAGGGAAGAAGAAAGACGGUACCUGACUAAGAAGCCCCGGCUAACUACGUGCCAGCAGCCGCGGUAAUACGGAGGGGGCAAGCGUUAUCCGGAUUUACUGGGUGUAAAGGGAGCGUAGACGGUGCAGCAAGUCUGAUGUGAAAGCUCGGUGCCCAACCCCAGGACUGCAUUUGAAACUGUUGAACUGGAGUACGGGAGAGGUAAGCGGAAUUCCUAGUGUAGCGGUAAAAUGCGUAGAUAUUAAGAGGAACACCAGUGGCGAAGGCGACUUACUGGACUGUAACUGACGUUGAGGCUCGAAAGCGUGGGGAGCAAACAGGAUUAGAUACCCGUGUAGUC
rnacentral:rRNA from 1 species